rnacentral:rRNA from 1 species
AUUGAACGCUGGCGGCAGGCCUAACACAUGCAAGUCGAGCGGUAGAGAGAAGCUUGCUUCUCUUGAGAGCGGCGGACGGGUGAGUAAUGCCUAGGAAUCUGCCUGGUAGUGGGGGAUAACGUUCGGAAACGAACGCUAAUACCGCAUACGUCCUACGGGAGAAAGCAGGGGACCUUCGGGCCUUGCGCUAUCAGAUGAGCCUAGGUCGGAUUAGCUAGUUGGUGAGGUAAUGGCUCACCAAGGCGACGAUCCGUAACUGGUCUGAGAGGAUGAUCAGCCACACUGGAACUGAGACACGGUCCAGACUCCUACGGGAGGCAGCAGUGGGGAAUAUUGGACAAUGGGCGAAAGCCUGAUCCAGCCAUGCCGCGUGUGUGAAGAAGGUCUUCGGAUUGUAAAGCACUUUAAGUUGGGAGGAAGGGCAUUAACCUAAUACGUUAGUGUUUUGACGUUACCGACAGAAUAAGCACCGGCUAACUCUGUG